rnacentral:lncRNA from 1 species
GUGUACGGACAGGGGUAAUUUUAUAAUUAUGAAUGUUCGGCAUGGGCAUUUUGGAACUACUCUGUGGGCCUUUUUCUCUCUCCCUCCUCGACCCCCUUACUUCUUAUCCGUCGAUCAGCAACACCCACAUGCGAGAACGCCGGUGACCAAACGCAGGUAAGCCGCCCCCUCUUCCCUCCUCUCUCCUCUCUCUUUCUUCGCACUAACACCCCCAGUCCUCGCUGGCGUCUCCUAGUCGGCGACCCCUCUCCUCUUUCCUCUUUCUUCUCUCCCCUUUCUUCUCUCUUCUAUCUUCUGCUCUCCUCCCAUUCCCCUCCUUGUGUCCAUUGCUUCUGGAAACCCUAAGAGGCAGCCCUACCAGUGACACCUAGUGUCCCUCUCUUUUUUUCUCUCCGUCUAAGUCGCCCCACUCUCCCACCCCCUUUGCCCCCUUAUUUGUGUUUUUGAUUCUUCAUUUCCUCGACCCUCCCUUCUGCAAUCGCCGACGAUCUGCUCGUUGUUUAGUUGGGCAGUUCGAGCUGCCAUAAAAUUAAAUACCAGUGUAGCGAUGACGGGUUGAUAGACCCCCCUGUGGUUUCAUAGUAGUGUGUUAUGAUUUUUUAGGUUGUUAGUCAUGGCAUUUGGCGAUGAGCGUGAGGCGUAUGAGUGAGCAGCCAGAGCAGCCCUGGAUGGUGUUUGUAAAGGCCAGUGGGAGUUUAAAGAAGCAUGUCAGUGUCGGUGACCUCGGGUGUGCACCGAGACGAAUUUCCAGGUUCUACUCGCGGGAUUUGGUACGUCCCGCUUUCCGGUUCCCUUCUUUGUGUUAGUUAAGUUGUUCCCAUUUUAUUUUACAUUAGUUUGGUCAUAUUAGUAGCGUGUUGUAGUUGCAACUUGUCCUUUUCCAGUUUGGUUCGUUGUCAUUUUUGUGUUAGUGAGUUUCCUUAGUCCGCCGUAGGUAUAGUGGUUGUGGUAUGGGAUGGUAGAGUAAGGUCAUGUUCUCGGGGAGCGCAGGGAGGGUGGGGGUGGGGCAGGGGUCAGGGGGUGGGAUGGGGGAGGGGAAGGGAAGUAAAGGGAUCAAGGGAGCCUAUAGGUUGAGAAGUAGUGUCCGGAACCAAAAUGUAAUUCUUUUUUACUCAAAAAACUAAAAUGUGUGAAAGAAAUAAGCAGUAACCAUAAUAUAUAUAACGCCCUUUUAAAGGGCGAUAUACCUUAACGACCGUUUGCCAGUUAAGUAUAGCGCCCUUUUAAAAGGCGCUAUAUGUGAACGUCAGAAGAGCGGGAAGGUUUAGCGCCCUUUAUUAAGACGUUGUACUAUAGCGUCUUAAUAAAAGGCAUUAUACCUAUAUAAAAAGUUGUCCCUUCCCUUUCCCCACCAGGAGAGAAAUUAUUUUCUCGCUCCUCAUUCUCCUGUGGAGAUAAGUUUAGAUCAGGCCAAACUCUUUCAGCCGGAACUUGUUCGACUAAAACUGUUCCAAAAUAACUACCCGAUGAAUGAGGGAUAUCCCUACUUUGCGCAACCUCAUUAUUGCGAAUGUCUUCAGUCUUGACGUACAUUUCCAAUAUUUUUAUCACAAGAAAUUUUCGGUAUUCAUCCGGAGUCCUCAAAAAAUUUCUCAGAGUUUCAUCGUCUUCGAUGUUAAACUCAGCAUAACAAGCAACCCCUUACGGAAUGAUAAAAUACAGAUAUCUUUCGGUUACUUUAAUAUUCACUGAACGUUUGCUCACACUCAUUUUUUUACAUAACAACGAUACCAAUAUAUCGUACUCCAUUGUAAGUGAAAACUUAACAUGACACUGUGGAGAUAAACUAUAGCUCACAGAGUUAUUCGCCACCACGACCUCACCCCCUAAUAUAAUGAAACCCUUAUUCUUCGCUCUUCAGACAUUAUGACAAAAUGCAAAAUAACUUAACAAGGAAAUAUUUCAGAAGACUUGAGAAUGUUUAUGAAUGAAUUUUUACAAAAUCCAUGACCUCUUUAAAUAAGCCAAAAACUAGUCCGGGGGUACAAUUAUUUGAGGUAUAACGCCUUAAAUAUGGGCGCUAUACCCAGUUGAAUUAUUGUUAUAUCAGUUAAGCUCAGAAGAAUUAUAGGUGGGCCUACAUAAUAUAUAUAUAGUGCCUUUCAAAAGGUCUUUAUAUAUAUAGCUCCUUUUAAAAGGGCGCUAUACUUAACCGGGCAAACGGUCGUUAAGGUAUAGCGCCCUUUAAAAGGGCGUUAUAUAUAUAUUAUAGUCAUUGCUCAUUUUUUCCACACAUUUUGGUUCUUUGAGUCCAAAAGAACCACAUUUUGGUUCCGGACUCAUUGGGUCAUGGAACAUAGGUACUUUGACGGGUAAGUCUAUAGAGCUGGCGAAGAUUCUCCAGAAGAGGAAGGUUAAUAUAGAGUAUGUCCAGGAGACUAGGUGGGUAGGUUCGAAGGUGAGGGAUACGGACGAGUAUAAGCUGUGGUACUUUAGAGUUUUGAAGGGUAAGAAUGGAAUGAGUAUUUUGGUGGAUAGGGAUCUUAGAGAGUCUGUGGUAGAGGUUAGGUGGGUGAAUGGUAGAUUAAUGACUAUCAAGCUAGUGGUCGGAGAGCACACCAUUAAUGUCGUUAGCGCUUACGCAACAUAAACGGGCUUGGAUGAAGAGGUUAAAAGGCGCUUUUGGGAGGGAUUGCAUGAGAUUGUGCGUGGUAUUCCGCCUACUGAGAGGUUAUUUAUAAGAGGGAAUUUCAAUGGUCAUAUUGGGUCGACUUCUGGCGGCUUUGGUGAGGUGUAUGAUGGCUUAGUUUUGGGGAUAUGAACGGAGGAGGUACUUUGCUAUUGGAUUUCGCUAAAGCUUUUGAGUUGGUGAUUGAGAACUCUAGUUUUCAAAAGAGGGAGGAGCAUCUAGUUACUUUCCAAAGUGCGGUGGCAAAGACACAGAUUUAUUAUCUCCUUCUCAGGAGGUGUGAUAUAGAGGGAUGUGCAAGGAUUGCAAGGGUAUACCGUGGGAGACCCUGGUGAUGCAACAUAGGCUCUUGGUGAUGGACGUCAGUAUCAUGAUAAAGAAGAAGAAGAGGUGUAUUCGAGGCCAACCGAGGAUCAUGUGGGGAGCCUUCACUAAUGUUAAAGCCAGGAGUUGGAGGGGAGGUUAUCGGAUAUGGGAGCCUGGAAGAGUAGUGCGGAACAAUGUGGACAACGAUGGCGAGCUUUAUAAGGAAGGGGACAAGAGUGGUGUUAAGGGUCUCGAAGGGAUACUCCGGCCGGCACAAAGGCGACUGAUGGUAGAAUGAAGUGGUCCAAGGUAAAGUGGAAGCAAAGAAGGUGGAAAAUCUGAAGUUAGUAGGUAGCACAAGCGAUGAGGAGAGGAAAGAGAACAAAAAGUAGUAUAAGGAAGCUAGGAAGGAGGCGAAGCUGGCAGUCAUGGAGGCUAAGACUGUGGCGUUUGGUCGUCUGUACGAGGAACUGGGGGAGAAAGGCAAUGAGAAAAAGUUAUUCUGAUUGUCCAAGGCAAACGAGAGGAAGGCUCGGGAUCUGGACCAAGUGAGGUGUAUCAAAGACGAGGCCAUCAUAGUAUUGAUGAGAGAGGAGUUGACAUACUUACUUUCAUAUACUUUUGAAUGAAGAGGGGGAUCAAGACAUUGUGCUAGGUAAAUUAGGCACUCUGAGAGUCACCGAGACUUUAGGUACUGCAGACGCUGUAAGCUCGGGGAGGUCGUGAGGGCUAUGCGUAAGAUGAGGAGGGGUAGAGCAACCGGACCAGACGAAAUUCCGGGAGCAUUUUGGAGGUGUGUGGGUAGAGCAGGCUUGGAGUGGCUGUCUGGGUUGUUUAAUAUUAUUUUCAGGAUGAAGAGGAUGCCCGAUGAGUGGAGGUGGAGCACGGUGAUUCCGUUAUAUAAGAACAAAUGUGAUAUUAAGAGUUGUAACAACUGUAUGGGUAUCAAGUUACUAAGUCAUACUAUGAAAGUCUCGGAGAGAAUAGUAGAAGUGAGGGUGUAGAGGACGGUAUCUAUAUCCGACAACCAGUUCGGGUUCAUGCCAGGUCGUUCAACUACAGAAGAUAUCCACCUUAUUAGGAGGUUGGUGGAGCAGUACAGGGAUAAGAAGAAGGAUUUGCACAAUGUAUUUAUUGAACUAGAGAAAGUGUAUGACAAGGUCCCUAGAGAGGUUCUUUGGAGAUGCUUGGAGGUUAAAGGGGUGUUGGUUGCCUACAUUAGGGCGAUUAAAUACAUGUAUAAUAGAGCUAAGAAUCGGGUUAGGAUAGUGGGAGAUGACUCGGAGCAUUUUUCGGUUGUUAUGGGAUUACAUCAAGGAUCUGCGCUCAGCCCGUUCCUAUUUGCCUUGGUUAUGGACUCACUGAUACGCCAUAUUCAAGGGGAGGUGCUAUGGUAUAUGUUAUUCACUGAUGACAUAGUUUUGAUUGAUGAGACGUGAGACGGAGUUAAUGAGAAGUUGGAGGUUUGGAGACAUAUCUUUGAGUCUAAGGGUUUCAAGUUUAGUAGGACUAAGACGGAACACCUGGAGUACAAGUUCGGCGCAGAGCCGAGUUAAGCGGGCGCGAAAGUGAGGCUUGAAUCAGAGGUCAUCCCCAAGUGAGGCAGAUUCAAGUACCUUGGGUCGGCUAUCCAGGGGGAUGGGAAGAUUGACGAGGAUGCUACACACCGCAUAGGCGUGGGUGGAUGAAAUAGAGACUAGCAUCUGGAGUACUGUAUGAUAGGAAAGUGCCUCUGUCACUCAAAAGUAAGCUUUACAGAGCGGUGGUUAGACCGACCAUGUUGUAUGGGGCUGAAUGUUGGUCAUUGAAGCACUCACAUGUCCAUAAGAUGAAGGUAGCAUAAAUGAGGAUAUUGAGGUGGAUGUGCAGGCACACUAGGAUGGAUAAGAUUAGGAAUGAAGAUAUUCGGGAGAAGGUGGGCAUAACUCCUAUGGAUGACGAGAUGCGGGAAGCGAGGCUCAGAUGGUUCGGGCACGUACGGAAGAGAAGCCCAGAUGCCCUGGUAAGAAGGUGUGAGUGGUUGGUUUUGGCGGGUACGAGAAGAGAUAGAGGGAGGCCUAAAAAGUAUUGGGGAGGGAAGAUUAGACAGGACAUGGUGUGACUUUAGAUUUUCGAGGACAUGGCCCUUGAUAGGAAGGUGUGGAGUUCGAGCAUUAGGAUUGUAAGUUAGAAGGUAGUUGAGCAUUGUUCUACUUUGUACAUGUGUGAGGCUAGUCUAAUCGGGUUUUUUCUUAUACUGCUAGUGGUUCAUGUUGUGUUCGCACUAUUCUGUAGUUUUUCUUUGUACCGGACCUUAUCUACUGAUUAUUGUUAAUGUUUUGCAUCUAUUUUCUGGUUGUUAUGUUGCUGUUAUUAUUUCUAUCAUUUUCUAUUGAUUACUGAUAUAUAGUCUCUCCUUUCGUCUUCUUGAGUUGAGGGUUUACCGAAAACAGUCUCUCUACCCCCUCUGGGUAGGGGUAAGGUCUGCGUACACACUACCCUCCUCAGAUCCCACUUGUGAAAUUUUACUGGGUUGUUGUUGUUAUACUCUUUAACUAGAGUCCUUACUUUUUUCUCAUUUUAACAACAUGUGCUAGCCCUUUUUGUUAUUUGUGUGAGAUAGUUGUCAUCCAUUUUCAUUUCUAUUUUGAUGUCUUCUACUCUUUCUUGGUUGAAUCUCUUCAUCUAAAAGAUGGUAAAUUUCUCCUCAAGUAGGCUACACUUAACACCGUUUGCAAAUAGCUGGUGUGUACUCAACAGUCGCCUUUUGUGUGCUUUACUUCGGCUCUGUUUCGGGUCUUUUCAUUAUUACUUCGUCUCACUUUUAUCUUUUGGUUAGAUUUUCUAUUUGCUUUUUCUUUUCACCUCUUUCGUACGUGUUACUUGUGAUCCACUCUCAAUCCACAUUCAUUGUUGAGUGGAAGAGGUCGUUGGAAGAAUAGUACCCAAUUAUGAGUCGAAGUCGAUUUCCUCAGGAAAUUAAGAAUGAGUGUUAAAGUGUACACUUGAUAUGUGUAGAAAAAAUAGCCUAAAUACACUAACAAUCAAGCUGGUUUUGCAAUUUACUUUUAUAAACUACACUAUCAAUGAUUAAUUAGAGAAAUGAAACUAGAAAUUGACUAAUUAUUUUUAGUUGUUUUCAAAUAGGUAAAAAACCUAGAGAUGUAACCUUCGCCUAGGUGUUAACCUAAUGGGUUAAUUACGCUAACACUUAUUUUAGUGAUUGGAGUGUAUGAUAGCUCUCAAUUCUAAAUUACCUACUCAAUAUCUCUCGGUCAUAGAGUGAUUUUGCCUAAUUUGAUUUUUUCAUGCCCAAAUGGGUAUCAAACCAAAUUGUUGAUAUGAGCUCAAGUCGGAUUUUCCCUAUCUCUAGUUCAAACCCUUUAAUUAGGCUAAUCAAAAGCUUAACUAACCCAAUUUCUUGUUAGCCAAGUUUUCCUAAACUAGUUAUUUCUUUCUCAAGUAAAGACCAAGCCAAAAAGGCAUGAAUCAAUGUUUGCAACCAUUAAUUCUAAAAUUAAAGCUUGAACAAGGCUAAAUAACAAAUACCCAAUCAUAAACAAGCAUUAGAUUAAUUACCCAUAAGGUUUACACACUAGAGUUGAGUCACAACCCUAGUAAAUGUCUAGCUACUCAUAGUAGAAAUUGGAGAAAAUAAAGAAGAAACACUAAUUAAAGCCAUAAUAUAAAAUUAAAAUGAUAAACUAUGGUAUUUUUGUCUUCACAAAUUUUCCAAAAUGGUAAACUACAAUGGCCACAGCUCAAAAAAACUACAAAACUUAACCUAAAAAAGUGAUUUUCGUCUAUUUAUAAUAGUCCAAAAUUCGCUGACAAAAAUGUCAUUCGAGAGGUUUUGCGGCCGCACAAUUCCAUGUGCGGCCCGCACUUUGCUUGAAUGUGCAGGUUGAGAGAUUCUACAGUCGCACAAUUUGAUCUGCGACUGCACUUCAGCUUCUGCGGCCGCACAAUUCCAUGUGCGGUCCGCACUAGAGGCAAGGCUUCAAUCUUGGUCGUUUUGCACACUCUCCGAACUUUUUGAAUUCUUGUCAAUGCGACCAUAUUUUGCGGCCGCACAAAUUGUGUGCGGUCCACACUUCUCUUCAAUCCACCUCUAAGCUUCUAACACCUCAAAUAUAUUCUCUCAGCUUCUUCAGAUAUAAGCAUUUUGAUGAUCCGACUUUGUAGAUAUGUCCAUAAUCCGAUAAUGCUUUCAAUUUUACUUCGCUUUAGAUGCAUUAUGAACGGAAAGCUUGAUAUAACAGGUAUUGUCCGCUUGAUGAAAUCUUUUAAUUCACAACCACUCCAGCCUUUCUUUGGUGGAGACGAGACACUUCAUGGACCAGUGGUGAUUGGUGUGAGUUGGAGUUAAUUGAUUAGCACCAAAUUAAUAAAGAGUCGCAGGUAUAUAAGUUUUCUUCUAAUUUUUUAUGCAGCUACCAAUAAGUAAACGCUCUAUUUCAUGUCAUUGACCAUCUUUUAUUUGGAAACUGGGACUUACUUUCCCAAUUGAUAUGUGCUUCAUUUCCGGACUUACCCCAAAUGUCGCUAUAGAUGAAACUGGAAUUCUGAGAAAUGAUGGUGCUAGGCAUAAAGUUUAAUUGGUUAGUUUUUGCUAGAUAUCUAUAUUAAUUCCUUAUUCACUUGAAAUUCAAAAGGUGAUACACGAUAGUAUCUGCUCAUUUCUUUUAAAAAAAUAGCAUAUUAUAAUGCUCUCUGAUGUGUAAUUAGAUAGCACAUGUGCUUUGUCUACAAUCCCUUAAAGUUAGUUAAAUCAUUAGAUAUGUUCAAAGAUUAAUACUAUGCAUAAGAUGUUUAGGGAGUUUGAAUAAGUAAGGUGUAUGAAUGCAGAAAAAGAGAAAAAUAUCUAAGCUUUCUCUUUAGACAAAUAGAAUAUGUCCGUGAUAAUGAAUGCAACAUUUGGACUAGCAGAAGAGAAAGCGAAAACAAAUGCAUUUCUAAGGCAAGGACUAACAUACAUUUAUUAAUUUGUGCAGAUCAAAACAAUCUUUUUGAUCUAUGUUAAUGUUCAUUGAAUGUAUUUAUUCAUUUUAUCUUUUUUAUAUGAUAAUAAUAUACUAUUUGAACUGAAGUAACUACAGGUUCAAAUAUUAACAUAUUGAAUGCUAACUUUUUCCAUCUCAAUUUUAAUUCUGAAUUUACAGCAGACAAGUAAGUUGAGCACUUUUUGCACAAAAAACUAUCAAUUUUUUUUUUCUUCUUUAAGAUGAUUUAUCAUUUAGUUAUGCGCUCCCUUGUUAUUCAUUUCCUAGAAAUUACAGAGUCAUGAUUCAAGGAAAAUAAAUGAUGGUUUCUUGUGGAAAGCUUCUGCUGGUUGCUUAUUUUUUUCUUUGCAAUUUCUCAUGCACCUUAUAGAUAGUAGUGACAAUGACGUCUGUAGAAAGUGAUGGACCCUAAUUGCCAUACAAAUAUUAUUUCAGUCGACAUUUUAUAUUCAAUCAUAGAUGCAGAGUACUGGUACGUACAUUUCCUUAGUAUGUAUCUUUUCUGGUAUUAUAGUAAGAACUAUCCGGUACUGAAUACGUCUUUUCACUUUGUAACUGGUUGAGAUCGUCUGUUAUUUGGGGAUUGAUAUUGUAGUGCAUACAACCAAACUUUUAAUAGGAGAACGCACAUUGAGAUGAGGUAAUGUGAUAGUAAAAAAAAGAUCUUGACAAAUUUGAGGGAGCUGGUUGAUGAUCAGAAAAUUACUAUCUAUUGACUGGCUUAGGGAAUAAGGAGUACAUCAUAAAAGAACCAUGACAAGCAUCAACAGGAAUCCAUGUCAUGAAGCAUUAGGCUAUUCAAGAAAAGGUUUAUUAAGGAAAUUAUUCCCCUCAAGUACCCGAGGUGUUGGAAUAUUAUCCUCCCACAAUAGAAUGAUUUAACUUACCAGUAUAUCGGUACCAAAAACGCUGGUGAACAGCGAACCACUUAAUGACUGUAAAUCACACCGGAAUUUAAUUGCGCAGAAGAAGGAGAAAAAGUUCAGAAAAUUUUGUAAGGAAAGAUUCUGGGAUCAAGGCAUAUUUAUAACUAUUUUUUGGCAUUGUUUCUGAAAAGUUUGCAACCUUUCAGAAACAGCCAUGGCGAUUGGAAUAGGCGGGAACGAUUCCCGUUUAAAAUAUUUCGGGAAAAUAAUUUAAAAUAAUUCGGAAAAAAAUGGAUCGGGUCGCGUCGCGGGUCCUGGGUUAUUCCGGGUUGACUUUUCAUUAAUUAAUUAAAGGAAAUUUUGUCCAAAAAGAUUAAUCAACCAAUCGAUCUUUGACCGAAUCCGAAGACGAAGCCGAGCGAGCGACGACGGCGAGGAGCGAGGUUUACCUUCUUUCCAACCCAUUUAAUACCAAGGGAAGUGCUUUCUCAAUAUAAGCACAUUCCCUUUUCUUUCCACCACCAAUGAAGGGAGCUCACUUUCCCUUCACAUUUCUUCCAUCCAUUUCCCAUUCACCAAUCUUUUAAUCACAACAAUCCCCCACAUGAAUGGGGAAUGGCUAUAAGACAAAGGAAUAUACAAAUGAGUGUGUGAUUUACAAGCAAGGAUUAAUUGCAUCUCGAUAAGUAUGUUUCCCUUUGAACUUUCCUUUAAUGAACUUAUAUCGGAUAUACUCGGUCAAUCGGUAGAUUUGAUAUCUUUGAACCGUCGAGCUUUGGUGUAUACCUAAACAAUAUAAGUCAUACAAUCAACCCUUAAUCAUCUAUGGUUCUCAGUGUUAUGUUCGUUUCAUCUAUGAACACCGUCUGAUUUUAUGAGUGCUUAGAGAAUAAACCUUUGCUUUCAUUCCCCUUGAAGCGACUUACACUUCACACUCACAUAGGUGAUUUCUAAACAUAUAAUCCUAUAGACACACUAUCUGGUCAUUUUCUGCCAGUUUUAGCAAAUCAUUAAAAACCUUUAAGCUUNNNNNNNNNNNNNNNNNNNNNNNNNNNNNNNNNNNNNNNNNNNNNNNNNNNNNNNNNNNNNNNNNNNNNNNNNNNNNNNNNNNNNNNNNNNNNNNNNNNNNNNNNNNNNNNNNNNNNNNNNNNNNNNNNNNNNNNNNNNNNNNNNNNNNNNNNNUGGUAGGUAGAGUUACUGCCAUGAUGACUUGUCCUAGGCCUUAAUCACAUUCCCUUCGAUGAUCUUUCAUCCUCCUCUCUAGAUAGGCCUUUUGUAAGUGGAUCCGACACGUUAUCUCUUGACUUCACGUAGUCAAUUGUUAUAACACCACUAGAGACUAGUUGUCUAACGGUAUUGUGUCUCACUCGUGGGUGACGAGACUUUUCGUUAUCACAAUGUAUACAUAUAGGUGCCAAAGGUUUGGGCCAAAAUAGAAUAUCUUCCAAGAAAUUCCAGAUCCAUUCAACUUCUUCACCGGCCUUGUCUAAAGCUAUAAAUUCAUAUUCAAUUGUAGAACUGUUGAUGCAUGUUUGUCUGGAUGAUUUCCAAGACACUACUCCACCCCCAAUUGUGAAAAUAUAUCCACUCGUGGAUUUAACUUCAGAUGAUCCGGUGAUCCAAUUUGCAUCACUAUGACCCUCAAUCACGGAGGGAUAUUUGUUAUAAUGCAGAGCAUAGUCUUAGGUAUGUUUCAGAUACCCCAAAACUCGUUUCAUUCGCAUCCAAUGUAUUUGAUUGGGAUUAGUUGUGAACCGACUCAGUUUGCUAAUAGCACAUGCUAUAUCUAGUCGCGUACAAUUCAUGAUAUAUCAAACUUCCCAAUACUCUUACAUAGUCCAGUUGUGAGUCACUCUCACCUUCAUUAUUUUGAAGUGCAUAACUCACGUCAAUUGGAGUCUUGGCAAUCUUGAAAUCCAAAUACUUGAAUUUGUCAAAUACUUUUUCAAUGUAGUGAGACUGUGAUAAUGCUAGACCUUGCGGAGUCUUGUAAAUUCUGAUUCCUAAGAUCACAUCAGCAACUUCUAAGUCUUUCAUGUCUAAUUUGCUAGCUAACAUGCGCUUAAUAGCAUUUAUAUCUUCCAUAUUUUUGCUCAUAUCAACACGUCAUCAACAUAUAAACAAACAAUGACUUCAUGACCUGGAGUAUUUUUAAUGUAACACACAUUUAUCACAUUCGUUGAUUUUAAAAGCAUUUGCUAACAUUGUUUGGUCAAAUUUAGCAUGCCAUUGUUUGGGCACUUGUUUAAGUCCAUAAAAUGACUUAACAAGUUUUCACACUUUCUUUUCUUUACCAGGAACAACAAAACCCUCAGGUUAUUCCAUAUAAGUUUUUUCCUCCGAUUCUCCAUUUAAGAAAGCUGUUUUAACAUCCAUUUGAUGGAUUUCAAGACCAUACACGACCGCCAGUGCCACUAACACCCUAAUAGAUGUUUUGCUUGUUACUGGCGAGUAAGUAUCAAAGUAAUCUAGGCCUUCCUUUUGUUUAUAACCUUUGACAACAAGUCUUGCCUUAUAUUUGUCAAUAGUGCCAUAAACUUUUAUUUUCCUCUUAAAGAUCUAUUUCGAACCUAAAGUCUUAUUUCAUGGAGGAAGAUCAACCAAUUCCCAUGUAUUAUUAUCCAAAAUUAAUUGAAUCCUACUAUUGACUUCCUCUUUUCAAAAUAUUGAAUCAGAAGAUAACAUAGUUGCUUUGAAAGUUUGAGGCUCACUUUCAAGCAAGAAUGUCACAAAAUAUGGUCCAAAGGAAGUAGAUAUUCUUCGACAUUUCCUACGCCUUUGAUCUUCUUCACUUGGAGUAUUUUCCUUUAGUUCUUCCCGUGGUCGUUUAGGUCUUUCACUUGACGACUCACAUUCAAUUUUAUACGGAUAGGUCUUUUCUAAGCAUUCGACAUUAUCCGAUUCAAAUACUAUAUUAACAUGAAUUUCGGGAUUAUCAGAUUUAUGAACCAAAAACCGACAUACUUUACUGUUUGUAGCGUAUCCAAUAAAAACACAAUCCACAGUUUUUGGUCCAUUUUUACCUGUUUGGGUAAAGAUACCUGUACCUUUGCUAAAGACCCACACACUUUGAAAUAUUGCAAGUUGGGGUUUCUUUCUUUCCAUUUUUCAUAUGGAAUAGAUUGUGUUUUAUUGUGGGGUACUCUAUUGAGUAUUCGGUUAGCUGUAAGGAUAGCUUCCCUCCCCCCUCAAACUAUGCGGUAAGCCGGAACUUAUUAAUAAAGAAUUCAUCAUUUCCUUUAAUGUUUGCUUUUUUCUUUCCACAAUUCCAUUAGAUUGAGGUGUGUAGAGGGCAGUAAUUUGAUGGAUAAUUCCACAUUCCGAACAUAUUUUGUAAACGAAGAUUCGUAUUCUCCACCCCUCUGUAAUGACCCGACUUGUCAUUUUAAGAAUUAACGCCCCGUUCAGCGACUUAAGGUCCCGAGCAACUUCGUAAUAUGUAUUAUGACCCGCGGGUGUGGUCGAUUUUGAUUUUUGGAGUAUUCGAAAUUUAAUUAAAAGAACAAUUCUUAUUUAGAAGCUUAAAUGAAAAGAGUUGACCGGAGAGUUGAGUUUUGAGCAAACGACCCCGGAGUAGAAUUUAGAUGAUGGAAAUAGUUUUGUAUGAUGAUUUCAGAUUUAGGCGUAUGUUCGGAUUUGGAUUUGGAAGUCCGUAGGACAAUUCGACGCAUUUUGGCGAAAGUUAAAAAAUAGAAGAUUUUUGGAAAGUCCGACCGAAGGUUGAAUUUUUGAUAACAAGGUCGGAUUUCGAUUCCGGAAAUUGGAAUAGCUCCAUUACACCAUUUAUUACUUGUGUGCAAAAUUUGAGGUCAAUCAGAUGUGACUUGAUAGGUUUUGGCGUUAUUUGUAGAAUUUGAAAGUUUCAAAGUUCAUUAGGCUUGAAUUGGGGUAUGAUUCAUGGUUUUAGUGUUAUUUAAGGUGAUUUGAGGGUUCGACUAAGCUCGUAUGAUGUUUUAGGACUUGUCAUAAUAUUUGGUUGAGGUCCUGAGGGGCUCGGGUGAGUAUCGGAUGGCUAACGGAUCAUUUUUGACUUUUGGGAGAUUGCUGAUAGCUGCUGGUAUUUUCUUAUGAUUUCCUUAUAUGCUAUUGCUUAAGUCCGUCUGCGAUCGCGUAGGAAAUUUGGGCAGAGGCGAAUUUGUUCUAUGCGAUCGCGUAAAUGGGGUUGCGAUUGCAUAGGCUUAAUUGGGCAGCUGGAAAUCUGUUCUAUGCGAUCGCAUGGGAACGUCCACGAUCGCGUAGGUUUGAGCGAGCUGUGCUAUGCGAACGCUGUGCUAUGUGAAUGCGUGGCUAAGGCCGCAUUUGCGAAGAGGAACGGAGGGAGGAGCUGGGUUAUGCGCGCUUAAUGCUUCGCGAUCGCAUAGGUUUGCGGAGUUAGUGCUUCGCAAUCGUGUGAGAUUUUCCGCGAUCGCGUAGAGUUAAUUUUGGCAGUGUUGAAAUUGUGCUUCGCGAUCACGUGAGGAAGUUCGCGAUCGCGUAGAAGAAAUCAGUUGGCAGAGAGUUUAAGUUCUGUCCCAUUUUCCAUUUUUACCGAUUUGGAGCUCGGGAAGAGGCGAUAUUUGGGAGAUUAUCAGAAGAAACAAUGGGGUAAGUGUUCUUAACUCAAUAUUGGUUAAAUUAUCCGAAUCCAUAGUUGUUUUUAACAUUUAAUCGGUGAAUUAAGUUGGAAAAAUUGUGAAAACCCUCUUGGUUUAAUUUAAGAUUUAGAGGUCGAGUUGUUAUUGGAAUUCGAUAAAAUUGGUAUGAUUGAACUCGAAUCGGAAUGGGUGUUCAGAUUUCGUAAAAAUUAUGCCGGGUUCCGAUAGGCGGGCCCCGCGUUGACUUUUGUUAACCUUUUGGAAUAAAUUUAUAAGUCGACGUUUUAGUAUCUGGAAUUGUUUUCGAUGAAUAUUAAUGAAGUUGUACAAUUAAUUUGGAUAGAUUUGAGCAGUCCGAAGGACAAUUCAAGCAAGAAGGCAAUUUUUGGAAUAUCGACAUAACUUCAAAAAGGUAAGUGUCUUGCCUAACCGUGAGUGGGGGAAUUACCCCUUAGGCAUCGAGUCUUAUGUGCCAUUUGUGAAAUGUGAAAAGCCGUGUACGCGAGGUGACGAGUACGUACCCGGGCUUAUAUGUGCAAAAAUUUAUUGAGUUAAAGUCUUAGGCAUAUUGUGUAGUAAAUUGGAUAAUUGUUGGCAUAUAUUUAAUCAUCUAAUUUCCAUGCCUCGAAUCACAUUUAUUGAACUUCUUUUUAUAUGACAAUUCGAUGUAAUUAUUACUUGUAUAUUUAUGUGAAUUCCGUGAGUUCGAUGGUUUGAUAUUUCUUAGAAUUUAAUUUCAUUAUGAAUUUUUUCUAUGCAAAUAAUUAAUUAAACAAGCUUAAGGAGAAGUGUUAAUUAGCAAAAUUUGGAUUAAUAAAGGCGUUGCCCUAUGCUGAUUAAUUGCUAUCUCUGUUGAUUGUUUUUGAGAUUUUAUACACAUUGUGUGGAUCCUUGGGUUAUUUGUUGUGAAAUUAAUUAAUUUUGUUAUAUCUUUGGAAUUGGUUAUGGCCAUUGGGCAAAUCGUGAUAUGAAUUGAUUUUGUAUGUUGCCGUGAUAAUAUUCCGUGUAAAUUGUUGUGUUAUUUGAGUUAGUAAUUUGAGGGCAUAAAGGUGGCAUGUGAAUUGUCCGCGCAGUUGAGAUAUGUAAUGUGGGCACGAAGUGUCGGAAAAAAUAUGAUGGUUUUAUUAUUGGCAUGUGAACUAUCCGUGCAGAUAUGAUAUGAAAAAUGAGCACGAAGUGCCGGGAAAAUAUGAUGAUUAAAUUAUGGGCACGAAGUGCCGUGAAAAUAUGAAAAGGGCUGAGACCCGUAUUUUUAUGAUUAUGAAAUGAGGUGUCACGUGGUGACUUUUAAUUGAAAGAAUUAUAUUUAAAAUAUUUAUUUGGAAGGACUUUUAUGCAAAAAGUAGUAUUUGAAGGAAUUGUAUGUGAAACAUAUUUAUUGUGGAAAUUAUAUUUGAAAAAGAUUUGUUGAAAGAAUUAUAUUUGAAGGAUAUUUAUUUGAGAAAAUUAUAUUUAAAAUAGAGUUAUUUGGAAGAAUUAUAUGUGAAAGAUAUUUAUUUGAAGAACUUGGUUAUUUGUUGAGUGAUAUUAAUAGUGUUCUUCUUGCCAUGCCGGGUAUAUCACGGGUUGAUUUGUAUUGCCCUUAUUAUUAUUUGUUUUCUAUUAUUUUGUAUACUAUAUUGCACAGGUAAUUAUACUAGUGGGUGUCUUGACUGUACCUCGUCUCUACUCCACUGAGGUUAGUCUUGAUACUUAUUGGGUACCGACCGUUGUGUCCUAAUAUAACACUUCUGCAUAUUUUUGUGCAGAGCCAUGUAUUGGAGCUAUUGGACUCGGACAGAGUUAAAGUGUGAUCGCAAGUAUUCAAGAUAGAACUGCUUGGUCGUCGCAGUCCCUUGAAAUCUUUUUAUUUUAUUGUACUAUUAAUUAUUAUUUAAACAGUAUUGAGUAUUUGAUCUUUGAGAUCAUUCCAUGUAUUUAGUUAGAGUUCGUAACUGAGUAUUACCAGUCUUGGUUGGUUGUUGUAUUCAUAUUUGUUUCCGUUGUUAGUUUUGAUUACUUAUAAAAAAAAUUUUAAAAAA